UUUGGGCUGAUUUGUCGGAAA
rnacentral:piRNA from 1 species